CUCUGCUGACCCUUCCAGUAGCUGAGACCAGUGUAGCCAAUCAAUGGCCUGACGAGUGCUGCGAGCCCUGGAGACCGGCUGGCCGGAACCACGAGGAAACACCGCAGUCAGCACUCCUUUCUGACUCUUUUACCAUCUCUCUCUCUCUCUUCUUUAGAACUAAACCAUACCAUUAUUUUUAGAUUAACAACCAACUUGGUGAAGCUUUAGUAAAACAUGUUAAUAACACAAAAGCAGUGUGUCUGAGGCAAGAUGGUGAAAUAGUUUUCCUGCAGCAGCUGGUUGUGUCUGUUGUAGUAGCAGUAGCCUGAUAUCACAUGAACCAUAUUGAAAUCAGAAAGCACUCAGAGAGCGUGUAGCUUACUUCCAACGCUGCACAAGCAAACCUGUCAGAUUAGUAAGGUUUUGAUUUUUUAAAUUUCCAUUUGGAUCCAAAUCAAAAUACACGUAGUGGUGUUGAUAUUUGCCUUCAUCUUUGGAUCCUGUGCAGUUAUUCUAUGAACACUGUUUUGUUGAAUUGGGGAAAAAUCAACCAGUGUUAUUGUAAAAGAAAUAUGGACAAUUCGGCACAUUUUCUGAUGGCAGCCAUACAUUUUGGGACAUUACCCACAGUACAUCACCGGUGGAAUAAUAGAGCUUUAAAAAGAGACAUUGGCCACAUUUAAAAGAAUUUUGCAACAAAUUG